AGUGAACGCUGGCGGUAGGCCUAACACAUGCAAGUCGAACGGCAGCACAGUAAGAGCUUGCUCUUACGGGUGGCGAGUGGCGGACGGGUGAGGAAUACAUCGGAAUCUACUUUUUCGUGGGGGAUAACGUAUGGAAACUUACGCUAAUACCUCAUACGACCUACGGGUGAAAGAAGGGGAUCUUCUGACCUUGCGCGAUUGCAUGAGCCGAUGUCGGAUUAGCUAGUUGGCGGGGUAAAGGCCCACCAAGGCGACGAUCCGUAGCUGGUCUGAGAGGAUGAUCAGCCACACUGGAACUGAGACACGGUCCAGACUCCUACGGGAGGCAGCAGUGGGGAAUAUUGGACAAUGGGCGCAAGCCUGAUCCAGCCAUACCGCGUGGGUGAAGAAGGCCUUCGGGUUGUAAAGCCCUUUUGUUGGGAAAGAAAAGCAGCAGGUUAAUACCCCGCUGUUAUGACGGUACCCAAAGAAUAAGCACCGGCUAACUUCGUG
rnacentral:rRNA from 1 species